AUGGGGAAGAUGUGCUGCAGCCAGGAGGAGGACGAGGCGGGGUUCAACCUGCUGCCGCUGGUGAUGGCCGCCUUCGUCAUCAUGCUGCUGUUCGUCGUCUGCUCGCCGCAGCCCCGGCGCAGGCGCUGCGUCGUCGUCCCGUGCUACUGA
rnacentral:rRNA from 1 species